UGGGGAAUAUUGCACAAUGGGCGCAAGCCUGAUGCAGCCAUGCCGCGUGUAUGAAGAAGGCCUUCGGGUUGUAAAGUACUUUCAGCGAGGAGGAAGGCGUUGUGGUUAAUAACCGCAGCGAUUGACGUUACUCGCAGAAGAAGCACCGGCUAACUCCGUGCCAGCAGCCGCGGUAAUACGGAGGGUGCAAGCGUUAAUCGGAAUUACUGGGCGUAAAGCGCACGCAGGCGGUCUGUCAAGUCGGAUGUGAAAUCCCCGGGCUCAACCUGGGAACUGCAUCCGAAACUGGCAGGCUAGAGUCUUGUAGAGGGGGGUAGAAUUCCAGGUGUAGCGGUGAAAUGCGUAGAGAUCUGGAGGAAUACCGGUGGCGAAGGCAGCCCCCUGGACAAAGACUGACGCUCAGGUGCGAAAGCGUGGGGAGCAAACA
rnacentral:rRNA from 1 species